GACGAACGCUGGCGGCGUGCUUAACACAUGCAAGUCGAGCGGAAAGGCCCUUCGGGGUCCUCGAGCGGCGAACGGGUGAGUAACACGUGAGUAACCUGCCCCAGACUUUGGGAUAACCCUCGGAAACGGGGGCUAAUACCGGAUACGACACAGCUUCGCAUGGGGUCUGUGUGGAAAGUUUUUCGGUUUGGGAUGGGCUCGCGGCCUAUCAGCUUGUUGGUGGGGUGAUGGCCUACCAAGGCGACGACGGGUAGCCGGCCUGAGAGGGCGACCGGCCACACUGGGACUGAGACACGGCCAAGACUCCUACGGGAGGCAGCGGUGGGGAAUAUUGCACAAUGGGCGGAAGCCUGAUGCAGCGACGCCGCGUGAGGGAUGACGGCCUUCGGGUUGUAAACCUCUUUCAGCAGGGACGAAGCGUAAGUGACGGUACCUGAAGAAGAAGCGCCGGCCAACUACGUG
rnacentral:rRNA from 1 species